ACACCCUCAACCUUUCUCGGUUUAUUUAUUGACCGGGAAAGGCUUGGACUUUGGAUGUUGCUGGCCUCGCCAGCUCCUCCUAAAUGAAUUAGUGGGGUCCGCCGUGCCGAUCCUUGACGUGUUAAGUACGCUUCUACGUCUCGGGGUUUCGCACCGUUCCCGCUUCUAACCUUUCGAGUCUCGACUCGACCUUUA
rnacentral:misc_RNA from 1 species